UCGAGUGUGGUUCGCGUGUUUUGCGCCCAUCGUUAUGCUGGCAUCUUUACUGCCAGCAUCGGAACCGGCCAUCAUCCGCUUAACGUGCGAAGCUGUCGAUGGCAAGUGUUUGCUCAAAAACAUCUACGCCACCGACGAGGAUCGCUUCAAGGAGAUUCGUAACGAAGGGUAUCAGGAUUGGAUUGAGUUUUUCGACAGCCACAUUCAUACGCUGCCGCCGAUUCCGUACAUCCGCCGAGUGAAAGCGGAUGCCAUCAAUCUGGUGCGCAUCGAAGAAAACACCUUCAGCACGAUCAACGGGCUCGACGUUUCCUUCAACCGUUUGCGUGAAAUAUCUCCGAAAGCUUUCGAGUGGCCCGAGGAGCUCCGUGAGCUCACUCUAAAGGGUAACCCAACGCUCAAAGACUUUGCCUUCCUUCGGUCGCUUACUGGACUCAGAGAGUUGGACAUGUCCGAGAUGAAGCUUGAGCUGGACUUGAUCGACAUCCAAACGUUCUCGAAGAUGGCGCAAUUGACUAGGUUGGACAUGAGCGACAACCGCAUCUCAACGGUGCCGGUGGGCAUGUUUGCGCAUCUCACUAGCCUUAGAUCGCUCGAUUUGAGCAGUAAUUCGAUAGCCAAAAUUGCUUCGGGAGCCUUUGCUAUCAACGGCCAGGGGAUAGAGUUCAACCUGUCGAACAACAGCAUCAGCAUCAUCGAGAACAACGCAUUCACGCACGCCUCAAAGAUCGACCUCCAAAACAACAAGCUCCUCGGUGUCGGCCCUUAUGCGUUCGACAACCAGACGUACCUGCGCACGCUAAUCAUAUCUGGCAGCGUACAGUUGAAGAAUUUCGACUUCCUACACAACCUACCGUACCUGUACAGCCUCGAAAUGUCCCGCAUGAACUUCUCGUUCGACGGCGUGCCACGCAACAUCUUCGACGAUCUCGCUUCCCUCGCCUCGCUAGAUUUGUCGCACAAUCUAGUUACCGAGCUACCGAUUGGCAUUUUCGCUGAGCUGCAGUCGCUCAACUUUGUAAACCUUCGCCACAACCUCAUCUGGCACGUGGAGUUUGGCACGUUCUCGAUGCGCAAGUACGACCUGAUCGACGAGAUCGACCUAUCGUACAACGAGAUCAAGGAGAUGAACUUUCUCGUGUUCGUACCGCUCAAGUACCUGAAAACUUUACUGCUGCACGGGAAUAAAAUAACCUACGUCAAUGCGAAGCAGCUGACGCGAAACAAAAGCCUCCAAAGCUUUGGCAUCCAGAACAAUUUGGUGCGCUGCUACGAUUUGAUCGAUCUGCUCGGUUCGCUCAAGCUGGUCCUCGAUCAGGGAGAAUUUAUCUCCGACCGACCGAACGUCGAUGGUAUCAAGUGCGAGCCGUAACAACCCGGAUGUAGUAGCACACAACAUAAAACGGUACUGAAAUCAACGGAAUAUCCUUAUACUUUUACUUCACAUACGCUGAAACUCCCAUCAUCAUGUGACAGUUGCAAAAAGCGCCGCGAAAUCUGUGGAAAGGCGUCAGCUCCAUAUCUGUUUGUCGAAUCAAUCAACGUAGUCAAUCUAAUCAGUAACCUAGCAACGCGAUGCCCACCAACCGCCAUCGUUGGGCGGUUUAUUUACUUGCUCCCGGUUGAUGUGGCGGAUUAAUGAGUCGAUCAAUAUGUUGUUUCUAGACCGGCCGACCGACCACCGUACGCCUCGUGUCACCCAAAAACGCGAUAUCGAUUUUCACACCAAAGGAUCAACAAUGGCAUCAAUUAUCUUUCCGGUGGUUUUCGUGGUCACAACCCGUUUUGUUUACUAACUACAAUCGGAAGCCACACUCAGUUCCCAUGUGUCCACGCGUCCAUAGAUUUCGAGUAGGAUCAACAAUGUGGUUACGGAUUUCAACAAUAUCGCACCUACCACUUGCCCCUGUAUAUUUAAAGUUUUGCCAUAAUUUGACAUCGCGUGAAUGACACCAUAACUUUAACUCACGUAGGAGUUUAAUUAUUACUGUGGCUGACUGCAAUUCCGCCGGAUUGUCGUGGUUGCGAAACAAUACUCGUCGAUAGCGUUGUUCACCUAGCCAUUCGCUGUAUGGAUCUCGCCCCGGGGUCCGCAGCCUCCGUAGACUUCAUGGCGCCACAAAACAUCCGGCUCAUGGCGCCCCCAAAACAUGGCCUUCGCAAGCGUCAGAACACCCAUUCUUAACCACACUUCACGUUCGAACAUGCACUGGCCGUGUUGCUGUGGCCCCAUUUAGCGAUUUGCAUAAUUCGAUUUACAGGUACAAAAAAUGCAAACAUUAGCACAACGAGCCACGGAUCAUUCCGAUCGAAAACCAUCGCCGGGGCGCGGUGCGUGGAGUUUGACUAACCCAUUACUAGAGAGAACGGACGUGCGGGCAGUGCUAAGACCCGGAACGUUUAUCCAAUAAACGGAGCGUCCGGAGGGAACUCGUAGCCGAGUGGAGCAAAUUCGGGAACCAAAAAACAACCAAAUUGCUGUCCAUGGUCAGCAAUUUACAUCGCCAAACGGUCGGGCCAUGUGCACCGGAUCCGCAGCAAAUCCGCACCAUCUUCCCACUAACCGGCAACCGGCGGCGGGUUAUUACCGACACUGGACUCUCUGGUUGGGUUGGGUGGUACCACUUGGGCCCCACGGGAGGUCUUUGUGGGUUUUAUUUCGUUUUAUCAUCCAACGUGGAAGUGAGUUAGCCAGCGCUCGGCGUAACGAAAUCACCCUCUCCGCAUGCUGCCCGUUCGCUUGUGGACACCGCAAACCCCGUUCCCUAGAGGGCCAGCAGGAUGGUCGACCAUCCUGGUGCCCGAUAACGGCACCGGGUUUCACGCCGGAACAGUGCGAAUUGGCGUGUGAAUAGUUCGCGGAUUGGAAGCGAGCGCUGAAUUUUAAUUAAUUUCCAAAUAAAUUACUUUAAUCGAUUUC